rnacentral:rRNA from 1 species
GACGUACGCUGGCGGCGUGCUUAACACAUGCAAGUCGAACGGAAAGGCCCUGCUUUUGUGGGGUGCUCGAGUGGCGAACGGGUGAGUAACACGUGAGUAACCUGCCCUUGACUUUGGGAUAACUUCAGGAAACUGGGGCUAAUACCGGAUAGGAGCUCCUGCUGCAUGGUGGGGGUUGGAAAGUUUCGGCGGUUGGGGAUGGACUCGCGGCUUAUCAGCUUGUUGGUGGGGUAGUGGCUUACCAAGGCUUUGACGGGUAGCCGGCCUGAGAGGGUGACCGGCCAAAUUGGGACUGAGAUACGGCCCAGACUCCUACGGGAGGCAGCAGUGGGGAAUAUUGCACAAUGGGCGGAAGCCUGAUGCAGCAACGCCGCGUGCGGGAUGACGGCCUUCGGGUUGUAAACCGCUUUCGCCUGUGACGAAGCGUGAGUGACGGUAAUGGGUAAAGAAGCACCGGCUAACUACGUG